rnacentral:tmRNA from 1 species
GGGGACGUCAUGGUUUCGACAGGGGCAUCGAAGCGGGAUAAGCGGGUCGCAGUUUGUCCGGUCUGCGUUAAAAAGGACACGUUAAAUACAAACGCUAAAAAGAACAACACACUCGCAUUUGCUGCUUAAUUAGCAGCCCGCGCGUCUGCCCGGACUCACCUGCAGGUCCGGUGUCAGGCGUCGACCAUGCAGGAAAACUCUAUGUGACCCUCCCGGCAUCAUAGGGGAACUACGGGAUAGCCGACCGAGAGGCUUGCCUUUGAGGCUCUCGUGAAGCGAAACUCUUAACCAAAGGCUGCACCCGGAGAAAGUCCCUUGGACGUGUUUUUGGACGCGGGUUCGACUCCCGCCGUCUCCACCA